rnacentral:rRNA from 1 species
AUUGAACGCUGGCGGCAUGCCUUACACAUGCAAGUCGAACGGUAACGCGGGGCAACCUGGCGACGAGUGGCGAACGGGUGAGUAAUAUAUCGGAACGUGCCCAGUAGUGGGGGAUAGCCCGGCGAAAGCCGGAUUAAUACCGCAUGAGACCUGAGGGUGAAAGCGGGGGAUCGCAAGACCUCGCGCUAUUGGAGCGGCCGAUAUCAGAUUAGCUAGUUGGUGGGGUAAAGGCCUACCAAGGCAACGAUCUGUAGUUGGUCUGAGAGGACGACCAGCCACACUGGGACUGAGACACGGCCCAGACUCCUACGGGAGGCAGCAGUGGGGAAUUUUGGACAAUGGGCGCAAGCCUGAUCCAGCAAUGCCGCGUGCAGGAAGAAGGCCUUCGGGUUGUAAACUGCUUUUGUCAGGGAAGAAAUCCUCUGGGUUAAUACCUCGGGGGAUGACGGUACCUGAAGAAUAAGCACCGGCUAACUACGUGCCAGCAGCCGCGGUAAUACGUAGGGUGCGAGCGUUAAUCGGAAUUACUGGGCGUAAAGCGUGCGCAGGCGGCUUUGCAAGACAGAUGUGAAAUCCCCGGGCUCAACCUGGGAACUGCAUUUGUGACUGCAAGGCUAGAGUACGGUAGAGGGGGAUGGAAUUCCGCGUGUAGCAGUGAAAUGCGUAGAUAUGCGGAGGAACACCAAUGGCGAAGGCAAUCCCCUGGACCUGUACUGACGCUCAUGCACGAAAGCGUGGGGAGCAAACAGGAUUAGAUACCCUGGUAGUCCACGCCCUAAACGAUGUCAACUGGUUGUUGGACGGCUUGCUGUUCAGUAACGAAGCUAACGCGUGAAGUUGACCGCCUGGGGAGUACGGCCGCAAGGUUGAAACUCAGAGGAAUUGACGGGGACCCGCACAAGCGGUGGAUGAUGUGGUUUAAUUCGAUGCAACGCGAAAAACCUUACCUACCCUUGACAUGUCAAGAAUUCUGCAGAGAUGUGGGAGUGCUCGAAAGAGAACUUGAACACAGGUGCUGCAUGGCCGUCGUCAGCUCGUGUCGUGAGAUGUUGGGUUAAGUCCCGCAACGAGCGCAACCCUUGUCAUUAGUUGCUACGAAAGGGCACUCUAAUGAGACUGCCGGUGACAAACCGGAGGAAGGUGGGGAUGACGUCAGGUCCUCAUGGCCCUUAUGGGUAGGGCUACACACGUCAUACAAUGGCCGGUACAGAGGGCUGCCAACCCGCGAGGGGGAGCCAAUCCCAGAAAACCGGUCGUAGUCCGGAUCGCAGUCUGCAACUCGACUGCGUGAAGUCGGAAUCGCUAGUAAUCGCGGAUCAGCUUGCCGCGGUGAAUACGUUCCCGGGUCU